rnacentral:rRNA from 1 species
UUAGUUUAGUGGCGGACGGGUGAGUAACGCGUGAGUAACCUGCCUUCAAGAGGGGGAUAACAUUCUGAAAAGAAUGCUAAUACCGCAUGACAUAUCGGAACCACAUGGUUUUGAUAUCAAAGAUUUUAUCGCUUCAGGAUGGACUCGCGUCCAAUUAGCUAGUUGGUGAGGUAACGGCCCACCAAGGCGACGAUUGGUAGCCGGACUGAGAGGUUGAACGGCCACAUUGGGACUGAGACACGGCCCAGACUCCUACGGGAGGCAGCAGUGGGGGAUAUUGCACAAUGGGGGAAACCCUGAUGCAGCGACGCCGCGUGGAGGAAGAAGGUUUUCGGAUUGUAAACUCCUGUCGUUAGGGACGAUAAUGACGGUACCUAACAAGAAAGCACCGGCUAACUACGUGCCAGCAGCCGCGGUAAAACGUAGGGUGCAAGCGUUGUCCGGAAUUACUGGGUGUAAAGGGAGCGCAGGCGGACCGGCAAGUUGGAAGUGAAAACUAUGGGCUCAACCCAUAAAUUGCUUUCAAAACUGCUGGCCUUGAGUAGUGCAGAGGUAGGUGGAAUUCCCGGUGUAGCGGUGGAAUGCGUAGAUAUCGGGAGGAACACCAGUGGCGAAGGCGACCUACUGGGCACCAACUGACGCUGAGGCUCGAAAGCAUGGGUAGCAAACAGGAUUAGAUACCCUGGUAGUCCAUGCCGUAAACGAUGAUUACUAGGUGUUGGAGGAUUGACCCCUUCAGUGCCGCAGUUAACACAAUAAGUAAUCCACCUGGGGAGUACGACCGCAAGGUUGAAACUCAAGGGAAUUGACGGGGGCCCGCACAAGCAGUGGAGUAUGUGGUUUAAUUCGACGCAACGCGAAGAACCUUACCAAGUCUUGACAUCCCUUGACAGACAUAGAAAUAUGUUUUCUCUUCGGAGCAAGGAGACAGGUGGUGCAUGGUUGUCGUCAGCUCGUGUCGUGAGAUGUUGGGUUAAGUCCCGCAACGAGCGCAACCCUUAUGGUCAGUUACUACGCAAGAGGACUCUGGCCAGACUGCCGUUGACAAAACGGAGGAAGGUGGGGAUGACGUCAAAUCAUCAUGCCCUUUAUGACUUGGGCUACACACGUACUACAAUGGCUGUUACAGAGAGAAGCGAAUCCGCGAGGAAGAGCAAACCUCAAAAAGGCAGUCUCAGUUCGGAGAGUAGUCUGCAACUCGACUACAUGAAGCUGGAAUCGCUAGUAAUCGCGAAUCAGAAUGUCGCGGUGAAU